GUAGGUGAACCUGCGGAAGGAUCAUUAAAAACGCUGGAUCUCGUCAGGGGCGGAAACGUCGCUGGCGGGGCACAUCCGCCGUCCUUUGUAUAAUUUACCUUUGUUGCUUUGGCAGGUCGCCCUUGGGCCAGCGGCUUCGGCUGUUGCGUGCCUGCCAGAGAACCACAACUCUUGAUUUUAGUGAUGUCUGAGUACUAUAUAAUAGUUAAAACUUUCAACAACGGAUCUCUUGGUUCUG
rnacentral:misc_RNA from 1 species